CCUACGGGAGGCAGCAGUGAGGAAUAUUGGUCAAUGGGCGAACGCCUGAACCAGCCAAGUCGCGUGAGGGAUGACGGCCCUAUGGGUUGUAAACCUCUUUUGUCAGGGAGCAAUUGAGACUACGUGUAGCCGAAGCGAGAGUACCUGAAGAAAAAGCAUCGGCUAACUCCGUGCCAGCAGCCGCGGUAAUACGGAGGAUGCGAGCGUUAUCCGGAUUUAUUGGGUUAAAAGGGUGCGUUGGCGGAAUAUCAAGUCAGCGGUAAAAGCCCGGGGCUAAACCGCGUACGGCCGUUGAAACUGAUGGUCUUGAGUGGGCGAGAAGUAUGCGGAAUGCGUGGUGUAGCGGUGAAAUGCAUAGAUAUCACGCAGAACUCCGAUUGCGAAGGCAGCAUACCGGCGCCCAACUGACGCUGAAGCACGAAAGCGUGGGUAUCGAACAGGAUUAGAUACCCGUGUAGUC
rnacentral:rRNA from 1 species